rnacentral:rRNA from 1 species
AGUUUGAUCCUGGCUCAGGAUGAACGCUGGCGGCGUGCUUAACACAUGCAAGUCGAACGGACAUUUAAUGAAACCUAGUGAUUUAAAUGUUAGUGGCGGACGGGUGAGUAACGCGUGGGUAACCUGCCUUACACUGGGGGAUAACACUUAGAAAUAGGUGCUAAUACCGCAUAAGCGCACAGCUUUGCAUGAAGCAGUGUGAAAAACUCCGGUGGUGUAAGAUGGACCCGCGUCUGAUUAGCUAGUUGGUGAGGUAAUGGCUCACCAAGGCGACGAUCAGUAGCCGGCCUGAGAGGGUGAACGGCCACAUUGGGACUGAGACACGGCCCAAACUCCUACGGGAGGCAGCAGUGGGGAAUAUUGGACAAUGGGGGAAACCCUGAUCCAGCGACGCCGCGUGAGUGAAGAAGUAUUUCGGUAUGUAAAGCUCUAUCAGCAGGGAAGAAAAUGACGGUACCUGACUAAGAAGCCCCGGCUAACUACGUGCCAGCCGCGGC